rnacentral:rRNA from 1 species
GGGGGGGUAAAACAUGCAGUCGAGCGAGCUUGCCUAGAUGAUUUUAGUGCUUGCACUAAAUGAAACUAGAUACAAGCGAGCGGCGGACGGGUGAGUAACACGUGGGUAACCUGCCCAAGAGACUGGGAUAACACCUGGAAACAGAUGCUAAUACCGGAUAACAACACUAGACGCAUGUCUAGAGUUUGAAAGAUGGUUCUGCUAUCACUCUUGGAUGGACCUGCGGUGCAUUAGCUAGUUGGUAAGGUAACGGCUUACCAAGGCAAUGAUGCAUAGCCGAGUUGAGAGACUGAUCGGCCACAUUGGGACUGAGACACGGCCCAAACUCCUACGGGAGGCAGCAGUAGGGAAUCUUCCACAAUGGACGAAAGUCUGAUGGAGCAACGCCGCGUGAGUGAAGAAGGGUUUCGGCUCGUAAAGCUCUGUUGGUAGUGAAGAAAGAUAGAGGUAGUAACUGGCCUUUAUUUGACGGUAAUUACUUAGAAAGUCACGGCUAACUACGUGCCAGCAGCCGCGGUAAUACGUAGGUGGCAAGCGUUGUCCGGAUUUAUUGGGCGUAAAGCGAGCGCAGGCGGUUCAAUAAGUCUGAUGUGAAAGCCUUCGGCUCAACCGGAGAAUUGCAUCAGAAACUGUUGAACUUGAGUGCAGAAGAGGAGAGUGGAACUCCAUGUGUAGCGGUGGAAUGCGUAGAUAUAUGGAAGAACACCAGUGGCGAAGGCGGCUCUCUGGUCUGCAACUGACGCUGAGGCUCGAAAGCAUGGGUAGCGAACAGGAUUAGAUACCCUGGUAGUCCAUGCCGU